rnacentral:lncRNA from 1 species
GCUUUUCUCGUCGGAAAUAACUUUGCUCUCUUCUCUCUCUCUCCCUCUUUCUCUCUCUCUCUCUCUCUCUCUCUCUCUCUCCAUUUUGAGCAUUGACUGAAACAACAGAAACGAUCGUAUCAGAGAACGACACAAUGAGACAUUUCUGAACAAGUCAAUGAUUCUUCAAAGUAGCCACCCUUUGCCUUGAUGACAGCUUCACACACUCUUGGCAUUCUCUCAACCAGCUUCACCUGGAAUGCUUUCCAACAGUCUUGAAGGAGUUCCCACAUAUGCUGAGCACCAUCUCAUUUGGGUUGAGGUCGGGUAAUUGUGGAGGCCAGGUCAUCUGAUGCAGCACUCCAUCACUCUCCUUCUUGGUCAAAUUGCCCUUACACAGCCUGCAGGUGUGUUGGGUCAUUGUCCUGUUGGAAAACAAAUGAUAGUCCACUAAGCGCAAACCAGAUGGGAUGGCGUAUCGCUGCAGAAUGCUGUGGUAGCCAUGCUGGUUAAGUGUGCCAUGAAUUCUAAAUAAAUCACUGACAGUGUCACCAGCAAAGCACCCCCAUACCAUCACACCUCCUCCUUCAUGCUUCACGGUGGGCACCACACAUGCAGAGAUCAUCCGUUCACCUACUCUGCGUCUCACAAAGACACGGCGAUUGGAACAAAAAAUCUAAAAUUUGGACUCAUCAGACCAAAGGACAGAUUUCCACCGGUCUAGUGUCCGUUGCUCGUGUUUCUGGGCCCAAGCAAGUCUCCUCUUAUUAUUGGUGUUCUUCAGUAAUGGUUUCUUUGUAGCAAUUCAUCCAUGAAGGCCUGAUUCACAGUCUCUUCUGAACAGUUGAUGCUGAGAUGUGUCUGUGUACAUUUAUUUGGGCUGCAAUUUCUGAAGCUGGUAACACUAAUGAACUUGUCCUCUGCAGUAGAGGUAACUCUGGGUCUUUCCUGUGGCGAUCCCCAUGAGAGCCAGUUUCAUCAUAGCGCUUGAUGGUUUUUGCGACUGCACUUGAAGAAACUUUCAAAGUUCUACAUUUUCUGGAUUAACUGACCAUCAUGUCUUAAAGUGAUGAUGGACUGUAGUUUGUCUUUGCUAAUUUGAGCUGUUCUUGCCAUAAUAUGGACUUGGUAUUUUACCAAAUAAGGCUAUCUUCUGUACACCAACCCUAACCUUUCACAACACAACUGAUUGGUUCAAACGCAUUAAAAAGGAAAGAAAUUCCACAAAUCACAUUUUAACAAGGCACACCUCAUGAAGCUGAUUGAGAGAAUGCAAAGCUGUCAUCAAGGCAAAAGGUAGCUACUUUGAAGAAAUAUAUUUUGAUUUGUUUAACACUUUUGUUGGUUACUACAUGAUUCCAUAUGUGUUAUUUCAUAGUUUUGAUGCCUUCACUAUUAUUCAACAAUGUAUAAAAUAGUCAAAAUAAAGAAAACCCUUGAAUGAGUAGGUGUGUCCAAACGUUUGACUGGUACUGUAUAUCAUGUGGUUACAUGGAAUUUCAAUUUAUUGGUAUAAUAACUAUGUAACUACAUAGUACCUAUUCUUUAGGCUUACUGGUGGCUAAUUUGAAACAGAAUUUGGUCAGUUUCCUUUCAGUACAAUUCGGCCAUUGUUCUAUCUG